rnacentral:rRNA from 1 species
UACGGGGGGGGCAAGCGUUGUUCGGAAUUACUGGGCGUAAAGGGCUCGUAGGCGGCCAACUAAGUCAGACGUGAAAUCCCUCGGCUUAACCGGGGAACUGCGUCUGAUACUGGAUGGCUAGAGGUUGGGAGAGGGAUGCGGAAUUCCAGGUGUAGCGGUGAAAUGCGUAGAUAUGCGGAGGAACACCGAUGGCGAAGGCAGUCCCCUGGGCCUGUACUGACGCUCAUGCACGAAAGCGUGGGGAGCAAACAGG